rnacentral:lncRNA from 1 species
CAUAGCGAGCAGAUGUGCUCGCGAGGCGAGCUACCCAGUUUUUGAAUGCUGAAUUUGCUUGCAUGAAUGGUAGUGAUUGAUGUUGUUGUUUUGAGCAUAGUUAUAUUAAAUUGUGCAUUAUUCUGGAUGGUUGGAUUGCUGAUUGUUGAUGUUGCUGAUGACUGUAAUGUAUGCUAAAAUCAUUGAAUUAUACAUGUUAUUUAAGUGGAGUCAUAUGGAGUAUGUAUGCAUGGUCAAGUUGUAUGUAGAUAUACACAAGUAGGUCCAUUGCAUAUGCAUAAACAGCGGAG